rnacentral:rRNA from 1 species
AUUGAACGCUGGCGGCAUGCCUUACACAUGCAAGUCGAACGGCAGCACGGGGGGUAACCCCUGGUGGCGAGUGGCGAACGGGUGAGUAAUAUAUCGGAACGUGUCCUGUAGCGGGGGAUAACCUAUCGAAAGAUGGACUAAUACCGCAUACGACCUACGGGCGAAAGCGGAGGACCGCAAGGCUUCGCACUAUAGGAGCGGCCGAUAUCGGAUUAGCUAGUUGGCGGGGUAACGGCCCACCAAGGCGACGAUCCGUAGCUGGUCUGAGAGGACGAUCAGCCACACUGGAACUGAGACACGGUCCAGACUCCUACGGGAGGCAGCAGUGGGGAAUUUUGGACAAUGGGCGCAAGCCUGAUCCAGCCAUGCCGCGUGAGUGAAGAAGGCCUUCGGGUUGUAAAGCUCUUUCGGCGGGGACGAAACGGUUCGUGCUAAUACCACGGACUACUGACGGUACCCGCAGAAGAAGCACCGGCUAACUACGUG